AUUGAACGCUGGCGGCAUGCUUUACACAUGCAAGUCGAACGGUAACAGGCCGCAAGGUGCUGACGAGUGGCGAACGGGUGAGUAAUGCAUCGGAACGUGCCCAGUCGUGGGGGAUAACGCAGCGAAAGCUGCGCUAAUACCGCAUACGAUCUAUGGAUGAAAGCGGGGGACCGUAGGGCCUCGCGCGAUUGGAGCGGCCGAUGUCAGAGUAGGUAGUUGGUGGGGUAAAGGCUCACCAAGCCAACGAUCUGUAGCUGGUCUGAGAGGACGACCAGCCACACUGGGACUGAGACACGGCCCAGACUCCUACGGGAGGCAGCAGUGGGGAAUUUUGGACAAUGGGCGCAAGCCUGAUCCAGCAAUGCCGCGUGCAGGAAGAAGGCCUUCGGGUUGUAAACUGCUUUUGUACGGAACGAAACGGCUCUGGUUAAUACCUGGGGCUAAUGACGGUACCGUAAGAAUAAGCACCGGCUAACUACGUGCCAGCCGCCGCUGUAAGAC
rnacentral:rRNA from 1 species